rnacentral:misc_RNA from 1 species
AGCAAGCAAUGGGUCAAAGCUGGUGGGAUAGGUUCCGGAAUCGAGUCCAGAGCGGAUAUGACACCGCGUCUGGCCACGUCCAACAAGCCGCAGAGGAAGCGGAAGCUAUUGCCAGACAGGCGGCUGAACGAGCCCGAGAUGCCGCCGCGAGGGCCAGAGAACUCGCCAGGCAGGCGGCCGAUGGGACUAGAGAUUUUGUUAGACGAAGAAUUGAUGAUCUAGACUAAAGUCAUAAUAACAUUUUUUACGAGAAUCAGCGAUCGUGUCAAGUGAGCACUUGAAAGUCUUGAUUAAAGAACGGACUACUUACUAUGUACUUGUUUUAAGUCGAUUUAAAUGAAGUCUUAUUUUACGUUUAUACAUAUAUAGGUCUCUGGCGAUGUAAAUUGAGUGACUGAAACUUAAAAUAAAUUCUGCUCCAAUUG